UCCCUGGUGGUCCAGUGGUUGGGACUCAUCACUUUCACUGCCAUGGCUCAGGUUCAAUCCCUGGUCAGGGAA
rnacentral:tRNA from 1 species